rnacentral:rRNA from 1 species
UAGGGAAUCUUCCGCAAUGGACGAAAGUCUGACGGAGCAACGCCGCGUGAGCGAAGAAGGCCUUCGGGUCGUAAAGCUCUGUUGUUAGGGAAGAACAAGUACGAGAGUUACUGCUCGUACCUUUACGGUACCUAACCAGAAAGCCACGGCUAACUACGUGCCAGCAGCCGCGGUAAUACGUAGGUGGCAAGCGUUGUCCGGAAUUAUUGGGCGUAAAGCGCGCGCAGGCGGUCCUUUAAGUGUGAUGUGAAAGCCCACGGCUCAACCGUGGAGGGUCAAUGGAAACUGGGGGACUUGAGUGCAGAAGAGGAGAGUGGAAUUCCACGUGUAGCGGUGAAAUGCGUAGAGAUGUGGAGGUACACCAGUGGCGAAGGCGACUCUCGGGUCUGUCACUGACGCUGAGGCGCGAAAGCGUGGGGAGCAAACAGG